UUGGUGCAAGAUGUGCUCUGAGAAUUAUUUAUGGGUCUUCUUUCACAAGUCCGCAAGUUAGAAUCCAUGAGGAUUAUCUGUCAAAAGGAAAACUAUCAAAGAAAGAAUUGAUGGGUAUUAUUCCCCACAAUAUUAAACAUCUAUACAUUAGUAUUCCCGAUUAUGUCUAUGGAAUCCCAUAAGUGGAAGCUUUAUAUGGUCAAGACCACAAAUAUCCGAACGUGUAAUCUCUUAUUUUCGGGUCGUCUGUGAUAAAUCUAAG
rnacentral:lncRNA from 1 species